CUCCUACGGGAGGCAGCAGUGGGGAAUAUUGCACAAUGGGCGGAAGCCUGAUGCAGCAACGCCGCGUGCGGGAUGACGGCCUUCGGGUUGUAAACCGCUUUCGCCUGUGACGAAGCGUGAGUGACGGUAAUGGGUAAAGAAGCACCGGCUAACUACGUGCCAGCAGCCGCGGUGAUACGUAGGGUGCGAGCGUUGUCCGGAUUUAUUGGGCGUAAAGGGCUCGUAGGUGGUUGAUCGCGUCGGAAGUGUAAUCUUGGGGCUUAACCCUGAGCGUGCUUUCGAUACGGGUUGACUUGAGGAAGGUAGGGGAGAAUGGAAUUCCUGGUGGAGCGGUGGAAUGCGCAGAUAUCAGGAGGAACACCAGUGGCGAAGGCGGUUCUCUGGGCCUUUCCUGACGCUGAGGAGCGAAAGCGUGGGGAGCGAACAGGCUUAGAUACCCUGGUAGUCCACGCUGUAAACGGUGGGUACUAGGUGUGGGGUCCAUUCCACGGGUUCCGUGCCGUAGCUAACGCUUUAAGUACCCCGCCUGGGGAGUACGGCCGCAAGGCUAAAACUCAAAGGAAUUGACGGGGCCCCGCACAAGCGGCGGAGCAUGCGGAUUAAUUCGAUGCAACGCGUAGAACCUUACCUGGGUUUGACAUGGAUCGGGAGUGCUCAGAGAUGGGUGUGCCUCUUUUGGGGUCGGUUCACAGGUGGUGCAUGGCUGUCGUCAGCUCGUGUCGUGAGAUGUUGGGUUAAGUCCCGCAACGAGCGCAACCCUUGUUCACUGUUGCCAGCACGUUAUGGUGGGGACUCAGUGGAGACCGCCGGGGUUCACUCGGAGGAAGGUGGGGAUGACGUCAAGUCAUCAUGCCCCUUAUGUCCAGGGCUUCACGCAUGCUACAAUGGCUGGUACAGAGAGUGGCGAGCCUGUGAGGGUGAGCGAAUCUCGGAAAGCCGGUCUCAGUUCGGAUUAGGGUCUGCAACUCGACCUCAUGAAGUCGGAGUCGCUAGUAAUCGCAGAUCAGCAACGCUGCGGUGAAUACGUUCCCGGGGCUUGUACACACCGCCCGU
rnacentral:rRNA from 1 species